rfam:Triticum aestivum genome assembly, contig: Triticum_aestivum_CS42_TGACv1_scaffold_577841_7BL
AUAUUACUCCCUCCGUUCGGAAUUACUUGUCUCGGAAAUGGAUGUAUCCAGAACUAAUAUACGUCUAAAUACAUCCAUUUCCGAGACAAGUAAUUCCGAAUGGAGGGAGUAGGAG